rnacentral:rRNA from 1 species
CACGUAGGGGGCGAGCGUUGUCCGGAUUUAUUGGGCGUAAAGAGCUCGUAGGCGGCUCGGUAAGUCGGGUGUGAAACCUCCAGGCUCAACCUGGAGACGCCACUCGAUACUGCCGUGGCUAGAGUCCGGUAGAGGAGCGUAGAAUUCCUGGUGUAGCGGUGAAAUGCGCAGAUAUCAGGAGGAAUACCAGCGGCGAAGGCGGCGCUCUGGGCCGGAACUGACGCUGAGGAGCGAAAGCGUGGGGA